CCUAAAAUCCAAAUACUUGUAGACAAAAUAGUCCAACCUUCCCUACACUGUCACUGCUGAAGAAUGCCAUGAGUAUCCUGUGUUUUCAAAUAUUCAAGGGAGAAAACAGAACAGGACUCUUAAGAAGUCUGGUGGAAGUCAAGCUUUCACAAAAGUAGUUACUCCAACUUUCGAAAGCUUGUCUUACCCAUGUGGCCCUUUCUGUAUGGCUGUAAGUGGUGAACAGGAAGUGGGAGCUGCCGGGAUGCAGAUGCCGAAGGAACAGAGAUGCCCAUUCCCAGGUGAGCUCAGGCCAAGAAGAAUGGAAGCAGAGGAAAGCUGACCCAGCCCUAAGUGGCAAGAUCUGGGGGCUAAGAGUUUGAAAAACUCAACACACCAGCUUCUUGGAAGAAACCAGAGUCUUCCUGGAACCCAGAGAAGGAAGACUCUUAAAGAGAAACUGAGGCUCAGACAGGCAUGACCUCUUCUCUUGUUAAGGACCAAGGAGGGUGCCCUUCACACAGGCAGGGAGCAGGUCCCCAGACCAGGCUACCCUCUAGCUCGGAGAGGGAGAAAACAGCACCCACCUGUGCAUACAGGUGCCUCCAUCUCCACCUCUCUUAUCCUCCAAUCCUCACCUUUCUAUCCCACCUUGUAAAAACCCACACUCAGGGCAAAGCCAGUAUGGACCCAGGUCCGAACGAUGCACGGAUACAGCGCACCACGGAUGUGUGCAUGUGUUUGGAGGGGUGACUGUUGGAUGCUGCAGAAAAGAAGGUUUAGUGAAGGAGGGCUCAUCCCUCUGCAGGGGCAGCGCUCUCCCAGAGAGGCCCACAGUCUCUGCCAUCACAGACGGGGUGCUCACUGAGGAGUAAACGUCCAUCCCAGUGGCCUGGCCUCUGCCUCCUGACCACAUAGCAGCUCGGAGAAAAUGAUGCUACAGUCGGUCUUUCUGACACCGCUUUGCUCCUAAUGAAGGCUCCUGUUUAUUCCUGGGAACAUCCCCUUCGGACACACCACCACCACCUUCCCUGUCAAGGAUGUCUGGGAAGUUGUGAAGAAGCUUCCAGAAAACAAAAGCCAGUGAACGGUCUUUCCUUGAACCAGGAUGGAGACAACUGGUGUAACGUAAGUGAAUUAAACCAGAGACAGUAUGGAGCACGUAGGCACAUGCAUUUCUUUGAAUACUGUUUUGGGGUUGGUAGAUGCAAACUAUUACAUUUAGAAUUAAGAAUACUCUUCUUUACUUACAGUCAAGGGUAUUAAUCGCGUCAAACCUACAAAAUGCCCUUCACAGCAGCACUUAGAUAAGUAUUUGACUAAAUAACUGGGUAGUAUAGUCCAAUCACAUUGAUAAAAAUUGACCAUCAGAGCUCCAAAUAAUUGCUAUAGAAACCAUUAGACUUCACUACUGAUCUAACUCAAAGGCCAGCCAACUACAGUCAGGGGGCCAUAUCCGGCUCACUGCCUGCUGCUGUGAAUCACAUCUUUUGGAAUAUAGCCACACCCAUUCAUUCCGGCAUUGUCCUCGGCUACUUUUGCGUGACAACUGCAGCCUUGACUGUGACAGAGACCAAAUGGCUUACAAAGCAAAAAUAUUUACUCUUUGACCCUUUACUGAAAGAAAAUGUGUGGCGUUAAGGAAGGCCACUGGGACUGCUUGGUGGAAAAGAUUCGGGGUUUGGAUAGUCAGCAGUCUGAACUCAGGGAAGAUCUAGGAGCACGUCAAAGAAUAGUCAAGCAUGACCUGGGGGGAGAAACCCCACGCAUCUGCAUUUGGCUUCGAAGCAGUGCACAGUCUGGCAGUGAGCACUUGUCACCUCACUGCUCAAAAAUGGAAGCGUGGGGCCUCUGGAUGUCAGGUGACCCCUGAGAAAUCUCACAAGGGAGUAAGCACCUGAAAGGCAAACUCCAGCCAACGUGCUUGGUUUUGCAAGUUGCAAUUGGCUCAGAUUUUCCUCUAAUUUUUAAGCAGCUUAUCAUCACCAUGAAAGGGAGGGAAAAGAACCUUCAAAAACUUGUCUUGCCUUUUUUUUUUUUCGGAUAAGAGCAUAUUACACCGUUUUAAAUUUUAGUCAAGAAGUUUUCCCACAUAAUUAUUCCUAAGACUUGUCUAUCACUUUAUAUCUUAAAAUACGUUGUCUUAUCCAGGAAAACUCUCCCCUCGCCCGCCCUCUCCUUUCUUUUUUUGGAAUAAACCUUGCUGAAGUAAACUGACUCUAAUAUUUCAAUUCAUCACCCUGUAUCUAAACCAAAAUAAUGUUUGUUGUGAACCUCCUUUAAGUACCAACUGAAAGAAAAAUUUAGAGAUUUUUUUUUUAUUGCCAAGGGGUGGGAAAAUACAUAAUAAUAUAGACAUGUGAUAAAAUAAAAUUAAUUUUUACAAGAGGCAAAAAAAAUCCUACAAUGCAUGAUCAAAUAAAAUUAACUCGCAUAUUUUAUCUACCAUAUAUGGUACCCCUAGCGUUUACCUGGUGCUGUGCUGUGUAUUUAGCAUAUAAAAUCCCCUAUAAUCCCUACGGCAAUCCUGGGAAGUGCAUGCAUUUUUAUGUGGGGUUUAUCAAUGAGAAAGCAAGCAGGCCCGAAAGCCAGACCGACCGCCUUCCUCCCCAGCCCACACCCCAACCACCGCGUGAAGUGCUGUCCCUAACGUCACAGAAAUUGCUAUUCCGAAAUAAUCAGUUCUAUCCUUGCUUGUAUUUCCCUUGACUGACCCGAAUAAUGUUUGUUUUUAUUUAGGAAUCCAGUUUCUUAAAGAAUGCAUGAUUUUAUUGAAGACGCUGCACAGGUCUCCCACGCAAUGGAAAGAGGCCCGUCAUUAAGCUCGAGACAGAGAGCCCGGAAACAUGCAUCAUCCCUCCAGGGGCAUUCCACGUCCUCGGAUGGGUGACAGAGAAACGGAAGAGCUUAGCAUCUGAGGGUCCGUUUUCUCUGUCACCCCUGCCGGUUCUCUAUUCAUCCACCUUGCAGACCUUAUUCUUGUUUCCUGAAAAUGCUUUAUAAAUCCUCUAGUGUUGUUUGCAUUUUAACUAGUUUCUUCUUACUCUCAAGGCACACUUUCCUAUCAAAGCACAGCAGAAAGUUCCACUGCUUGUCCCCACAUGUCACACAGGUACUGCUGAAAUGAGAACCCCUGCUAUUGUCCCUCUUUCUUUUCCUCACCUGCCGGGGCAAAGUCAGAAUUUACCCUGGAGAGACCCCAACCUUCUUGAAAAGACUUUCCUUUUUUUCCUGUUUUAUUACUCAGAUGAAUUUAUCACAUCUGUAGUUGUAUAAUGAUCAUAACAAUCUGAUUUCACAGGAUUUCCAUCCCACAGCCCAGGCACAUCUGCCCACCCCCCAAACUGUCUCCUCCAGAGACCUUAAGUUUUUCAAUGUCUGUGAGUCAGCAUCUGUUCUGCAAAGAAGUUCAGCCUGUCCUUUUUUCAGAUGCCACAUGUCAGUGAAAGCAUUUGAUGUUGGUGUCUCAUUGUAUGGCUGACUUCACUUAGCAUGAUAGUUUCUAAGUCCAUCCAUGUUGCAAAAAGUGCCUGUAUUUUGUUCUUUUAAUGGCUGAGUAAUAUUCCAUUGUGUAUACGUACCACCUCUUCUUGACCCAUUCCUCUGUUGAUGGACAUUUAGGUUGUUUCCAUGUCUUGGCUAUUGUAAAUAGUGCUGCAAUGAACAUCAGAGUACAUGUGUCUUUGCGAGUCACGGUUUUCUCUGGAUAGAUGCCAGGCGUGGGACUGCUGGAUCAAAUGGUAGUUCUAUGUUUAGCUUUCUGAGGAAUCUCCAUACUGCUUUCCACAGUGGUUGCACCAAUUUACAAUCCCACCAACAGUGUACUAGGGAUCCUUUUUCUCCACACCCUCUUCAACACUUAUUGUUUGUAGACUUUUUGAUGAUGGCCAUUCUGGCUGGUCUAAGGUGUUACCUCAGAAGUGGUUUUGAUGUGCAUUUCUCUAAUAAUGAGUGAUGUUGAACAUCUUUUCAUGUGUUUCUCGGCCAUCUGUAUGUCUUCUUUGGAGAACUGUCUGUUUAGAUCUUCUGCCCAUUUUUUGAUGGGGUUGUUUGUUUUUUUGGUAUGGAGCUGCAGAUGUUGUUUAUAAAUUUUGGAGAUUAAUUCCUUGUCAGUCGAUUCACUUGCAAAUUUUUUCUCCCAUUCUGUGGGUUGCCUUUUCAUGUUGUUUAGGGUUUCCUUUGCUGUGCAGAAACUUCGAAGUUUGAUUAGGUCCCAUUUGUUUAUUUUUGUUUUUACUGUCAGUACUCUAAGAGGUGGAUCUGAGAAGAUGUUGCUGUCGUUUAUGUCAGAGAGUUUUCCUCUAAGAGUUUGAUAGUGUUGAAAAGACUUUCCUGAAGCUUCUCUGGCUGGGGAACCACAGGAAGACAGUGUUGUCUGGGUGUCACAUGCCACCCACCCGCUCUGCUCGCACUCUGGUCCGGGGUCAGCCAUGGGCCCCAUCUGCUCUGCUGUGGAGCCGACCAGAAGUGUCCAGGAAGCCCUCAGAGAUGCAGCUUCAGUGCAGAUGUGUCUUCAGACAACCCUUGAGUAUUCCCUGGAGACUCUCUCUCCCUGUGUGCACAUACACUAAAGCUCGAGUUUAAUUUUUUUUUCACACUGUGGACAUAAGUUCACAUAAUUCCCACAUCAAACUGCUGGAAAAGCCAGUCUAACAUCACCCUAUUUUUAUGUUUUAACUCAGUUUGAAAAAAAAAAAAAAAUCACACACACACACAUUUUUUCCAGUGCCUGCCUAGUUCUAGAAAAAGCUCACUGGAAACUAGAAACACAGAAGACUGCCUUUACUUCCCAGUAAUGGAACUUGGUCACAAGGCUUCCAGGCCCUUCCCUUCCCCAGACACUCGUCAAUAUUCCCUUACUCAUAGAAGGCAAGCCCCCUCGCUCCUAGGGAUUCACAUCUGGGGGUCUUUCCCCUUUGGCACUUUUUCUCCUGAGGUGGGUGCUCUCACAGUGAACAGGGAAUGUUCUGGCUCUUCUGGCCCAGUCCCCUCCUCCUGCUCCUGUCUGCCCUCUGCAGGUUGGGAGAGUCAACAGUGUCCCGAAGGGGAGGGGCUUUGCCCCGCCUGUCCCAGGAGGGACUAUAUAUUGGGCAUUGGGGAACCCAAGCUAGAUUCCAGGUUCACUCACUUGAAAAUGAAAUCAGUAAAGGUAAGGAGUAAAAAAUAACGAUAUUUUUAAAAUAGUUACAAUUAUAACUUGAGCCAUGUAAACCCAUAGUAGCAUCAAAAAAAAAAAAAAAAAAAAAAAAA
rnacentral:lncRNA from 1 species